rfam:Oryza glaberrima chromosome 6 Oglab06_0217_39, whole genome shotgun sequence.
CCCUAGGUCAGACUGUCCGUCUUAUAUUAAAUUUUUUUAUAAUUAGUAUUUUCAUUGUUGUUAGAUGAUAAAACAUGAUUAAUAUUUUAUGCGUGACUUGUCUUUUUAAUUUUUUCAAUUUUUUUUUAAAAUAAGACGGACGAUCAAACGUUGGACACGGAAACUCAGGGUU